rnacentral:rRNA from 1 species
GACAGAGGGGCCAAGCGUUAGGCGGAAUCACUGGGCUUAAAGCGUGUGUAGGCGGGCGAUCAAGUACCUUGGGAAAUCCCACGGCUCAACCGUGGAACUGCUGGGUAUACUGGUUGUCUUGAGCCAGCUAGGGGCGAGCGGAACAGACGGUGGAGCGGUGAAAUGCGUAGAUAUCGUCUGGAACGCCGAAGGUGAAAACAGCUCGCUGGGGCUGCGCUGACGCUGAGACACUAAAGCCAGGGGAGCGAACGGG